AUGCUUCGGAGGGAGAAGAGCCAUUCAGCUGAAGGAGAACACCACAGGAGCACGACAGGCAUUUUGCACCAUCAGCAGCAGAUGGAGGUAGCUGGUGUGCUUGCAUGAGCUGUGUUUUCUCAGGAAAUCAGGCUGCCCAUAGCUUCAACAGACCACAGCCAUUUGGCCCAGGUGCCCUGACCUGUGCCAAACCACGCCGUGAUCCCCAAGGAGCGGCACUGAAGCUUGCUGGGGAGCAGCAAUGCCCCAAUACCCAUGGCCAGCCUCCUUCCUUCCUACGAAGAAUCAAGCCAUAAUGAAAGGCAGCUUUCAAACACCUUCUUUAAAAUAACAAUCGCCAUACCAUAUCAGGACCAAAAUGUCUUAAUAUUGAUAAUAAUUCUGUUCUUUUUAUUUCUUUUUCUUGUUGAAAACGUAGAGCAGAAGCAUUCUUUCCCCCUUCGUUUCCAAGGGAUGAAGACAAAUGUCCUUUUUUUAACCUUUCUUUUUGGUCUUGUUUGUAGAGUGGGUUGAGGAGGGUAGUUAUUGAAAUGCCGCUGUUUGUGGCAAACCUGAUGAGCACUUUCCAGCCCCCCCUGUAGAUCAUAGAAUCAUGGAAUCAUGAAGGUUGGAAAAGACCUUUAAGGUCAUCGGGUCCAACCAUCAACCCAUCCCCACCGUGCCCACUAAACUAAAUGGUGUGGGAUGCCUCAGAUUUAUUCUCCGUUUCUUUUAUUAAUCAUUGCAUCGGUUGCAAGUAGCCUGUCACUACACUCCAUGAAAUCCCCCUUUUUUAAUGUGAUGGUGUUAAACCAGGCUAUGAGUUGUCUUCGUCUCCGAAGGCACCGAUGUGUCACGCUGCACAAGGUCGGCGAGCGGUCCGAACUGAAGGCCAACGCUGUACAGCUGUAAACCCCCUAUAAAUAAAUUGUGUAUAUU
rnacentral:lncRNA from 7 species